rnacentral:rRNA from 1 species
AACGAACGCUGGCGGCAUGCCUAACACAUGCAAGUCGAACGAGACCUUCGGGUCUAGUGGCGCACGGGGGCGUAAAGGGUGGGAACAUGCCCUUAGGCUCGGAAUAACUCCCCGAAAGGGGUGCCAAUACCGGCUAAUAUCCUCGGACCAAAGGUUUAUCGCCUUUGGAUGGGCCCGCGUUGGAUUAGCUUGUUGGUAGGGUAAAAGCCUACCAAGGCGACGAUCCAUAGAUGGUCUGAGAGGAUGAGCAGCCACACUGGGACUGAGACACGGCCCAGACUCCUACGGGAGGCAGCAGUGGGGAAUAUUGGACAAUGGGCGAAAGCCUGAUCCAGCUAGGCCGCGUGAGUGAUGAAGGCCUUAGGGAUGUAAAGCUCUUUUACCCGGGAUGAUAAUGACGGUACCGGAAGAAUAAGCACCGGCUAACUCCGUG